AAGUCGUAACAAGGUUUCCGUAGGUGAACCUGCGGAAGGAUCAUUAAAAAAUCAUUUGAGCCGCAAGGCUCUAUUAUCUUGUGAAAUGUACAUGGGAGAAUUCUGCACAGGGGAGGGGAAGAUAUGUCGCCUUGCGCGCUAUAUUAUCCAUUACUCUAUGUGCAAGGGUUUCCCAGUUAUUAUUAAACAUAUGUUUAUUGAUGUUGAGGAAAUGUAUAUUUAAAUAAUACUUAUACAACUUUCAACAGUGGAUCUCUCGGCUCUU
rnacentral:misc_RNA from 1 species